CGUAACUGGAAGUCGUUUACAGACGAACACUUCAAUGCGCUACCUGGCAUACGUUUGCCGUGUAGACGCAGAAGUACCAAACGUCGGAUACAGGUCGGUCACGACUCCACUUCCUAUGGGGAAGUUUGUACAGCUCGGGUUCGUCGACAGUCGCUUGACGUUUACAGUUCCUUGGCAAUCAGUGCCGGAUGGACGCUUUUUACCUGGCACAUUUUUUUGGGAAAAUAUGAUUUUGUUGGGAGUGCUGAUGGCCGUCACCCGGAGUCAGCACGCAUAUACAAUUUAUUUGUGCUGUUAGUUAUUUGCAGUUUGUUUGGGCUUGCCAUGUUCGCAGGUGGCCCGUGCUGCUUGGAGUCGAGACGUUAUAUGCCAGAACAUUUUUUAUUUUAUUUUAUGUUAUAAGGUCCUUUAAUAAAAAGUAAAAAUUUA